UACAGAGACUGCAAGCGUUAUUCGGAUUCACUGGGCGUAAAGGGUGCGCAGGCGGCCAAGUGUGUUAGGCGUGAAAGCCCGGGGCUUAACCCCGGAAUUGCACCUAAAACUACAUGGCUAGAGCAUUGGAGAGGGUAGCGGAAUUCACGGUGUAGCAGUGAAAUGCGUAGAUAUCGUGAGGAACACCAGAGGCGAAGGCGGCUACCUGGACAAAUUGCUGACGCUCAGGCACGAAAAGCGUGGGGGAGCAAAAAGGG
rnacentral:rRNA from 1 species